rnacentral:rRNA from 1 species
UACGUAGGGUGCAAGCGUUGUCCGGAAUUAUUGGGCGUAAAGAGCUCGUAGGCGGUCUGUCGCGUCGGAUGUGAAAAUCCAGGGCUCAACCCUGGACCUGCAUUCGAUACGGGCAGACUAGAGUUCGGCAGGGGAGACUGGAAUUCCUGGUGUAGCGGUGAAAUGCGCAGAUAUCAGGAGGAACACCGGUGGCGAAGGCGGGUCUCUGGGCCACUACUGACGCUGAGAAGCGAAAGCAUGGGGAGCGAACAGG